GGGGGGGGGGUUGCAAUUAAAUUUGAAGGAAUUUGCUUAAUAAGCAUGGUAUCCAUUUGGUUGUAAUUGCGACUAAAUCAUGGUCACUGGUGUGAAAUAGUUUGGAUUUAUCUUGUCUUCUGUGUGCUGUAUGCAAAUAAGUCUUUACUGAUUGCAGAGAUAAAUUGACAAUGUAUUAUUACAUCAGCUAUCUUGAUGUGGUUAAAUACAUUUAAGCAAGGUUAACGGCGAAUGUACUAUGCAGGCCACAUCCACUGAUGGGAGUCUGUGACGUCAUAUCGAUUAAAGGGGGUUGUUUCGCUCCUUGUGAUCAGUGCGUCGGUCUGGGUAUUCAUACUGCCAUUGUAUGCUUUGCCUAGCUGCAGCAAGUUUAGCGCUUAGAUACCUUUCCCCUACCCACCCCACCCACCCAUGUUUAUUCUAGAGGAUUUUAUCUGGUAGUAGGU